rnacentral:rRNA from 1 species
UACGGAGGGUGCAAGCGUUGUCUGGAUUUAUUGGGUUUAAAGGGUGCGUAGGCGGCCCGUUAAGUCAGCGGUGAAAUCCCGGGGCUCAACCCCGGAACUGCCGUUGAUACUGGCGGGCUUGAGUUCGGUCGAGGCGGGCGGAACUGGCGGUGUAGCGGUGAAAUGCUUAGAUACCGCCAAGAACCCCGAUUGCGUAGGCAGCUCGCUUGGCCGAAACUGACGCUGAGGCACGAAAGCGUGGGGAGCAAACAGG